AUGCAAGUCGAACGGUAACAGGAAGCAGCUUGCUGCUUUGCUGACGAGUGGCGGACGGGUGAGUAAUGUCUGGGAAACUGCCCGGUGGAGGGGGAUAACUACUGGAAACGGUAGCUAAUACCGCAUAACGUCGCAAGACCAAAGAGGGGGACCUUCGGGCCUCUUGCCACCGGAUGUGCCCAGAUGGGAUUAGCUAGUUGGUGAGGUAACGGCUCACCAAGGCGACGAUCCCUAGCUGGUCUGAGAGGAUGACCAGCCACACUGGAACUGAGACACGGUCCAGACUCCUACGGGAGGCAGCAGUGGGGAAUAUUGCACAAUGGGCGCAAGCCUGAUGCAGCCAUGCCGCGUGUAUGAAGAAGGCCUUCGGGUUGUAAAGUACUUUCAGCGGGGAGGAAGGGGAUGUGGUUAAUAACCAUAUUCAUUGACGUUACCCGCAGAAGAAGCACCGGCUAACUCCGUGCCAGCAGCCGCGGUAAUACGGAGGGUGCAAGCGUUAAUCGGAAUUACUGGGCGUAAAGCGCACGCAGGCGGUCUGUCAAGUCGGAUGUGAAAUCCCCGGGCUCAACCUGGGAACUGCAUUCGAAACUGGCAGGCUUGAGUCUCGUAGAGGGGGGUAGAAUUCCAGGUGUAGCGGUGAAAUGCGUAGAGAUCUGGAGGAAUACCGGUGGCGAAGGCGGCCCCCUGGACGAAGACUGACGCUCAGGUGCGAAAGCGUGGGGAGCAAACAGGAUUAGAUACCCUGGUAGUCCACGCCGUAAACGAUGUCUAUUUGGAGGUUGUGCCCUUGAGGCGUGGCUUCCGGAGCUAACGCGUUAAAUAGACCGCCUGGGGAGUACGGCCGCAAGGUUAAAACUCAAAUGAAUUGACGGGGGCCCGCACAAGCGGUGGAGCAUGUGGUUUAAUUCGAUGCAACGCGAA
rnacentral:rRNA from 1 species